rnacentral:rRNA from 1 species
ACAUUGAAACACUGGUUCUCAUACAAUCCUCAAAGUUAAGCAACAUUGAGCUUGGUCAGUACUUAGAUGGGUGACCACAUAGGAAGACGAGAUACUGUAAG